UACGUAGGGUGCAAGCGUUGUCCGGAAUUAUUGGGCGUAAAGAGCUCGUAGGCGGCUCGUCGCGUCUGCUGUGAAAACCUGGGGCUCAACCCCGGGCCUGCAGCCGAUACGGGCAGACUAGAAUUCGGUAGGGGAGACUGGAAUUCCUGGUGUAGCGGUGAAAUGCGCAGAUAUCAGGAGGAACACCGAUGGCGAAGGCAGGUCUCUGGGCCACUACUGACGCUGAGAAGCGAAAGCAUGGGGAGCGAACAGG
rnacentral:rRNA from 1 species